rnacentral:lncRNA from 1 species
UAUCUUAUAAAUCACAUUACAUAAGUUAAUCAGACGAAAAUGAGUCAUAUUACAAGGCAUAAGAAUCUCAAGAAUUAAAGUAAUAUUUGUUUUUAUAAAUCGCCUCUGUAAGUGCCCAAAUCCAUCCAGCCCAAUAAAUAAAAAAAUAAAAAAAUAAACAAAACAAUAACUAAAGUCCACUUACAAACCCAAAUAACCCACACAAGCUCAAAUACAUUACCCAAUCUAACCUAACCCUAAAAGCCCCAAACAUCCGAAGCCCAAGCCUGAAAUCUUAACAAAUCAGAAACCCUAGUUGAUCCCUUGAGCCUUCGGUGCCGCUCCACGUCAACGAGUGCAUUGCCUGAGGCCUGUCUCUCCCCUUUCACUGAAAUGGCAAGGCGCGGCUCCCCAGCACCAUUGACCUUGCCAUGAAUACCUACAAAGAAGAAGACAGAGAACAAAAAACAAAAAUGACAGGAAAAAGCAAGAAAAAGAACCAAAUAUUCUAUAAUAUAUUGCUAUAAAAGUCAUAACAAUGGCAUGUAAUUUUUUACAGACACACAAGGAGUCAAAUACAAAAAAAGAAAAGUGACAAGUUUUAAAGGUAGUUCAUUUAUACUUUUUUUUUUGAAAAAUAAAUAAAUAAAAGAUAGGAAUUUUUUUAUUUACUUGAACACUGCCUCAUAUUCCACCGUCGUGAGUGGACGAGGACACCGUCUCCGAUAAAGGACGGCUCCCUCCUAGCAUGAAAAACCUCCAAAUCAUCCCUGGUUUGUUUGAGACCGCUGGGGUGUGGAGGUACCCAUCAAAAAUUACAGAGAAACCAAAAGGCUUCUAGGGUUUUUCUUAUUUUCUAUCAAGUUUUAAGAAAUAUCAAUCCUAGAUUUGGGUUCUGGGAGUUAAAACGAUCGAAAGGGACAUCGCUUCAUGGAUUUCGGCCACUGGGGAUGGCGGACCCCGUCGUCGACAACUGGUUGCCGCCAUGGGGGCUCG